rnacentral:hammerhead_ribozyme from 1 species
AUCCAGCUGACGAGUCCCAAAUAGAACGAACUACGCGUUUUGGAU